rnacentral:lncRNA from 1 species
AUACCUACUUCCGCUUCUGCUGCGAACCUGACGGACAUGCCGGACGGCUUUGAAGCCGAGUGAUUUCGUAGGGUCACUCUUCCCUUCCUUUAUGAUUGUUCUGAUCCGGCCUUUCUGGUUACCCGACUGAGGACUACAAGUCUGCAAAGACGAUGUGAUCAGCCCAGGACUACAUAACCCAGAAUGCACUGCUGCGGAAGCACCUCUGCAAAACUUCUUGCACAGCGGAUGUGGACUUCGGUCAGAAAGGCUUUGGCCAGUUCUGGCAGAGUGUGGAUCUUUGGUAGUUGGGAUGGUAUGCUUUGGAACCAGGUGUUCUCUUGGUCUCUGUGGGCGGCAGAGAUGAAGAAGCUGGAAUAAAGAUAAAACCUGCGAAUGGAGCCAGCGAUUAGAAAACCAGUGUGGGAAUCAGCGAGGUGGAAAAAAAAAACCUUUUAAUUGGGCGGGGGUUGGGACCGGUGGAUAUAAUCUAAAUAUAUACAUUCAUAAAACUACCAAAAACUAAAGCGAAAUAACUCACUCUCUAGUGUUUUUUUUCUUCUCUCGCUUUGUAGUGGUUACUCCAGAAAAGUAGGAGCAAAAUUGAAUAAAGUAAAGGUUUGUGGAGUUUGCCAGGAA